AUUACCGCGGCUGCUGGCACAGAGUUAGCCGUCCCUUCCUCUCCGCAUACCAUCAACUACGCUUGCUAUUAACAUGCGUAGCCUUGUUCUGCANUGACAGGAGUUUACAAUCCAAGAACCUUCAUCCUCCACGCGGCGUCGCUCCAUCAGACUUUCGUCCAUUGUGAAAAAUUCUCGACUGCUGCCUCCCGUAGG
rnacentral:rRNA from 1 species